CCCCCCCCCCUCUUCUCUCUUUGCAAGUCAGUAUGGAAAAUGCUUCCAUUAGGCAAGGAUCUGUUCGUCUAUGUAUCUCGGUGUAACUCGAAUGCAAAUUUGGGAUUGGAUGGCCAGAGUUAAAGGAUUUCUUACAUGUAAUCGUUCAAUCGGCGAUAUGAGAUGACAGAUGGAAUCACGAAUGCAAGAACUUUGUUGCAUAAGUGUCGGUAGGAAAUGACGUUUGAGGGGUUAUGAUAUCAUCAUCAAUAGAUAAAGCAUCUUUGCAUAAAAAAGGUAUAAAUGGUAAAAGAUAAAGCAAUUAAAAAACAUUGCUGAAUCUAAGGGAUUUGGUGAUAUAUGAUACUUCAAAUAUAUUUAAAUGCAGGGGGAUAUAGUAACCAAAUGCCUAAUUAGUAGGAGAUGAUCAAGGAAGUUGAUAUCAAUUCUUCAAAGAAGCAUUGAGCGGGAAAACAAUUCAUAGGAUGGCUAAAGCUAAGACACGUGGAAUGAAGGAGGUGUAGAAAGGGGACACGUGACGCCUUAAAGAGUCUUUUAUUAGGAAGAGAUUAUAAAGUUUUCAAGUUUAUAAUUUUCUCUUUUUAAACAUACUUGACUUUGUUAGAGUUGAUGUAACAUUAAAAUUAUAUUAUAUCUUUCUAUUAUUUUUUUUUAGGCUUAUCGUUUAGGUAAGGCUUCAAGGAAAGAGAAAUUUGUCACAUGCUUAAAAUGCAAAAACCUUAGUCAUAACAAAAGGAGUUGCAAAGGUCAUAGUAUUGCAAGUGGUGCAGGUAAAAGCAGUGCAAGUGGUGAUGGUGAUGCAGGUCAAAACAGUGCAAGUGGUGUUGGUGGUGCAAGUCAAAGCAGUGUAAGUGUUGCUGGAAGUGUUGCUGGUAAGAAGAUACCAAGUUGGGCUGGGAAAAGCAGUGCAAUAAGUGUUGUUAAUAGGAGACCAAGUUGGGUUGGGAAGGAAGGAAAGACAGUAGUUUGAAAGCAUCCUAGUCGUUUUAUUUCGUAGCUUAAUGUAAUGGCUUUUUACACUAUGCAAUGUGUUGAUGUUUUUGUUAACAUUAUGAUAAUCUUUUGUUAACAUUAUGAUGAUCUUUUGAUAACAUCUCUAUCUUUUGCUAAAAUUAUGAUGAUAUCCUACUAUCUUUUGAUAAAA